CGUUCACUUUUUUCAAUUUUUACAGCAUUCAUUCCAGAGCAUGGCUCAAGACUACAUGGAAAUGGUGCCAAAGAUGAUAUGGGCAUCCAUUGGCUUGCUGGCCUCCUUAUCCCUUUCAUCAGGCAUGAUGAUAGCUAGCAAAGGGAGUACAGGGAUCUAUACACCUCCACCACCAGGUUCACGCAACAGCCCCAUUCCUCCGGAAGAUAUCCAGAGGUCAUUUGGGCUUCCGAAUUCCAACCAGUUCCCAGCAUACGAUAACUACCCCAUGUCCAAAGGUGGCACUCCGCAGAAUCGUGGCGGAGCCCCAAUGUCAUUCGCUGACUUCCAGCUGCCACCGGUUCCUCCUCCAUCCGACAUCUACUCACUAACCAAAAGUUCCGGCAGCUCUCGGACGCUUACAGGCGUUAAUGACACUCAAGGAUCCCCCAGUGCCGAUUCGCCGGACUUGGCGUACUGCAACAUGAUCCUAGAAGCACCGAUACCACCGACUGCGGACCAGGUGCCGUGGUUCUGCACCUGCACCCUGUGCAAAGGAGGUACCAAGGGUCCAAAGGGGGACAAAGGAGACAGGGGAUUGACAGGUCCACCUGGCAGUCCAGGAAGAAGAGGUGUUACCGGUUACCAAGGACCUCCAGGUUUCACAGGCCGCCAAGGAGUCAAGGGUAAGUGCCGCCAACCAACUGUCCACAAAUCUAUCAAUCGCACUGUAAAACCUAACUGCAUUUCUUACUGAACUAAUUAAGUUAACAAAUCUUAAAUAUUAC
rnacentral:lncRNA from 1 species